GGCCGGAUGGUGUAGUUGGUUAUCACGUAUCGUUAACAGUUCCAAUAACUGAUUCCGAUAAGGUCCUGGGAUCGAGCCCCAGUCUGGUCA
rnacentral:tRNA from 1 species